rnacentral:rRNA from 1 species
UACAGAGGGUGCGAGCGUUAAUCGGAAUUACUGGGCGUAAAGCGUGCGUAGACGGUUAUUUAAGUCGGGUGUGAAAGCCCCGGGCUCAACCUGGGAAUUGCAUUCGAGACUGAAUAGCUAGGGUACGGUAGAGGGAAGUGGAAUUUCCGGUGUAGCGGUGAAAUGCGUAGAUAUCGGAAGGAACAUCAGUGGCGAAAGCGACACGCUGGGCCGUACCUGACACUGAUGCGCGACAGCAUGGGGAGCAAACAGG